rnacentral:rRNA from 1 species
GCCUAGGGGAGGCAGCAGUGGGGGAUAUUGCACAAUGGGGGGAACCCUGAUGCGGCGACGCCGCGUGGGUGAAGAGGCGCCUCGGCGCGUAAAGCCCUGUCCGCAGGGAAGAAAAUGACGGUACCUGAAGAAGAAGCCCCGGCUAACUACGUGCCAGCAGCCGCGGUAAUACGUAGGGGGCAAGCGUUAUCCGGAUUUACUGGGUGUAAAGGGGGCGCAGACGGCGAUGCAAGCCAGGAGUGAAAGCCCGGGGCCCAACCCCGGGACUGCUCUUGGAACUGCGUGGCGGGAGCGCAGGCAGGGCG